rnacentral:lncRNA from 1 species
GUGCGCCUCCCGGCCACCUGGUGUAAAGCAUAAACAACCGCAUUCUCUGCCUUUUUUUUCUUCUUCUUCUUCUUCUUCUUACAUGCUGCAAGAUAAAUGAAAGGACCACGAGGAAACCUGAAAAACCGGGCGGGCAUCCGUGCAUCUCCAUGACCACGGUGUGAACUUUCCCUUGCAGCUCUUCCUUGCAGGCCCAUAAUAAUGGCUGCUGUCGGUGCUGUCUGCGCGGCGGCCCGUCGCGGUGAUAUAUGGGGGUCAGUGGGCCGGGACGGCCUGCUCGGAAUGAGCGGCCCGGUGAGCAGCCAAGACGGGUAGUCAGGCGGACAGAAACCCGGGAUGCGCAGCUAGAACCUGCUGCUACACCAUCAUAAUUUACCCAGAUGCAAAACAGGAUAUUUUGGCUGGACUCGCAUCAACCUGGAGGCUAACGUUGCCUUUCGCCCCCGCACCUGAACUUUUCGGUGACCCAACCCGGAUCACAGACAGUCCUCUUACUUUGUUUCCAAAAACAAAGGGAAGAUGGGAUCUAAAAAUCCCCAGUUUACUUUUUAAAAUUUAUUGCUGCACUUUUUACUUGAUCUUUGCGUAAUAGUAGUUGACUGGUUGUUUAAAUCUUGACAGAUUUGAUAAAAAAAAAAAAAAAAAAAUGUUUCUGAGUUAUUUACACAAAUCCAGGCUUCUUUAUCGCUGUCAGCGAAGAGGAGUUAGAGACGCAGACCUCUGGAUGUUGGCCAGACGACCGUCCAUAUCUUCCCACAAUGUUGACACUCGGAGCUCUUAACAGCCAGGCUUGGGUUACCGAGACACUGAGCCGAAGAUAACUCUUUCUGCGAGGUUUACACCGGCCAACAUCAAGGCUAAUGCGAAAUUCAACGCCUUAAGCUGAGUUGGAGCCAUUUCUCAUGGACAGAGACCAGACGGAAUUGAACGGUGGAACUGUUUAUAUAUGAGGGGCUGUAAUAAAGCUAUUAAAAAUAUCUGACUUAUUUUUAUGUCUAAAACUGUUUUCAGGUCACAUACAGUAAGCUUUUAUGUUGAAUUUUGGAGGUAAGUGCAAAUAAUACUACUACUACUACUACUACUAAUAAUAAUAAUAAUAAUAAUAAUAAUAAUAAUAAUAGAAUUUUACUGUACAAAAUUACUAUUUUUAAAUAAACCA